UACGAAGGGGGCUAGCGUUGUUCGGAUUUACUGGGCGUAAAGCGCAUGUAGGCGGACCAUUAAGUUGGGGGUGAAAUCACGAGGCUCAACCUCGGAAUUGCCUCCAAAACUGGCGGUCUGGUGCAGAAGAGAGGCGAGUGGAAUUCCGAGUGUAGAGGUGAAAUUUGUAGAUAUUCGGAGGAACACCAGUGGCGAAGGCGACUCGCUGGCUUCUUGCUGACGCCGAGAUGCCAAUGCGUGGGGUGCAAACAGU
rnacentral:rRNA from 1 species